rnacentral:rRNA from 1 species
AUUGAACGCUGGCGGCAUGCCUUACACAUGCAAGUCGAACGGCAGCACGGGAGCAAUCCUGGUGGCGAGUGGCGAACGGGUGAGUAAUAUAUCGGAACGUGCCCGGUCGUGGGGAUAACGUAGCGAAAGCUACGCUAAUACCGCAUACGAUCUACGGAUGAAAGCGGGGGAUCGCAAGACCUCGCGCGAUUGGAGCGGCCGAUAUCAGAUUAGGUAGUUGGUGAGGUAAAGGCUCACCAAGCCGACGAUCUGUAGCUGGUCUGAGAGGACGACCAGCCACACUGGGACUGAGACACGGCCCAGACUCCUACGGGAGGCAGCAGUGGGGAAUUUUGGACAAUGGACGCAAGUCUGAUCCAGCCAUUCCGCGUGCAGGAUGAAGGCCCUCGGGUUGUGAACUGCUUUUGUACGGAACGAAAAGGUUUCUAUUAAUACUAGGAGCUCAUGACGGUACCGUAAGAAUAAGCACCGGCUAACU